GUCCUUUGCAUGAUUAAAAUAAAAUAAAUCUUCAUUUUUCAAGUAAAAUGAUAAAUUCCAUUAACUUUAAUAUGAGUAUAUGUAUUAAAAAGUAAAUAUUUCAAGAUAUUUCUCUUAUAUAUUCCAACAAUUGUUGAAAAAAUAUUUGUGACUUUUUGUCCUGUGACUUUUUGUCCUAUCAAAUUUGUGACUUUAUGUCCUGUGACUUUUUGUCCUGUGACUUUCUGUCCGUUUACCAUUUAAAAAAACCCAUUAAAUACAAAUUUCUUUAUAUCUAAUAAAAAAAAAAAGUUUUCUUGUCGCUAAAUAGUCUUCUUGUCUCUUGUUGUCGCUAAAAUAAUUCUUGUUGUCGCUUCUUGUCGCUUGUUGACGCUUGUUGUCGCUUCUUGACGCUUGUUGUCGCUAAUUAGUGAGACCCCUUUCCGGC
rnacentral:lncRNA from 1 species